CACGUAGGGGGCAAGCGUUGUCCGGAUUUAUUGGGCGUAAAGAGCUCGUAGGUGGCUCGGUUAGUCGGGUGUGAAAACUCGGGGCUCAACCCCGAGACGCCACUCGAUACUGCUGUGGCUUGAGUCCGGUAGGGGAGCGUGGAAUUCCUGGUGUAGCGGUGAAAUGCGCAGAUAUCAGGAGGAACACCGGUGGCGAAGGCGGGUCUCUGGACAGUUCCUGACACUGAGGCACGAAGGCCAGGGGAGCAAACGGG
rnacentral:rRNA from 1 species